GAUGAACGCUGGCGGCGUGCCUAAUACAUGCAAGUCGAGCGAACAGACGAGGAGCUUGCUCCUCUGACGUUAGCGGCGGACGGGUGAGUAACACGUGGAUAACCUACCUAUAAGACUGGGAUAACUUCGGGAAACCGGAGCUAAUACCGGAUAACAUGUUGAACCGCAUGGUUCAACAGUGAAAGACGGUUUUGCUGUCACUUAUAGAUGGAUCCGCGCCGCAUUAGCUAGUUGGUAAGGUAACGGCUUACCAAGGCAACGAUGCGUAGCCGACCUGAGAGGGUGAUCGGCCACACUGGAACUGAGACACGGUCCAGACUCCUACGGGAGGCAGCAGUAGGGAAUCUUCCGCAAUGGGCGAAAGCCUGACGGAGCAACGCCGCGUGAGUGAAGAAGGGCUUCGGAUCGUAAAACUCUGUUAUUAGGGAAGAACAAAUGUGUAAGUAACUAUGCACGUCUUGACGGUACCUAAUCAGAAAGCCACGGCUAACUACGU
rnacentral:rRNA from 1 species